AGAGCGAACGCUGGCGGCAGGCUUAACACAUGCAAGUCGAGCGGGCGUAGCAAUACGUCAGCGGCAGACGGGUGAGUAACGCGUGGGAACGUACCUUUUGGUUCGGAACAACCCAGGGAAACUUGGGCUAAUACCGGAUAAGCCCUUACGGGGAAAGAUUUAUCGCCGAAAGAUCGGCCCGCGUCUGAUUAGCUAGUUGGUGAGGUAAUGGCUCACCAAGGCGACGAUCAGUAGCUGGUCUGAGAGGAUGAUCAGCCACAUUGGGACUGAGACACGGCCCAAACUCCUACGGGAGGCAGCAGUGGGGAAUAUUGGACAAUGGGCGCAAGCCUGAUCCAGCCAUGCCGCGUGAGUGAUGAAGGCCCUAGGGUUGUAAAGCUCUUUUGUGCGGGAAGAUAAUGACGGUACCGCAAGAAUAAGCCCGGCUAACUUCGCGCCAGCAGCCGC
rnacentral:rRNA from 1 species